rnacentral:lncRNA from 10 species
GUGGUAGCUCACCCACACUGCAAUCCAUCUGCUGACUCAACUUGCUAGUAUCGGGCAGCAGCCAGGACCACAGCUCCUCCAGCUCCUUUGUGACCUUUUCCUUCAGCUUCUUCAAAUACUGGGUUAGACACCUGCCUGGAAUAUAGUGAGUGUUAGGAUAAAGUAAACAUAGACCAGAGGAAGAAGUCAAAUACGCAUUUGCCUCAGCCACAUUCAGUUGCCAGAGAGCAGGCACCAAAUCACUGGAGAGUGCAAUUUAUCCAGGAUAGAAUUUUGGCUCUAGAAGUGUGACCAAGUGAGAGAGAACAAGAGAACUGAGAGUAAAUGGCAAGGAGUGACUGAAAUCACUAAUCAUUAAUCGCCAUGUGCAACAAGAUAUACUUUUAAAAAACUCCCCGUAGAAGGCAGCGAAGAAGACAAAUCACAAACUGGUGUGAAUAGAGCCAGCAAAGGAGGUCUUAUCUAUGGGAACUACCUGCAUUUGGAAAAAGUUUUGAAUGCACAAGAACUGCAAAGUGAAACAAAAGGAAAUAAAAUCCAUGAUGAACAUCUUUUUAUCAUAACUCAUCAA